AGCACCACAGAGCCCCCGGGGCUGCUCCCGCUCCUCUCGCCUCCUUCCACAGCACAGCUGGGCGGGGAGAAGGCAAGGGGAAGAACGGGCUCGGAAAAUGACCAUCGGGUAGCCUGGUACAGUCUGAGCUCCUGGAUAGAAGCACUGCUAUCAGUUUCCAUCCUCCUUGUUUGGAGUGGAAAGAAAACCAGAAGGGUCCGAAAUAUUUUCCUCCAGGAGUGAAUGAACACAGUGGUCCACAUGAACUGGAAAACAAAAUCGUCCAGACGCUUAUAAUCUUAUUUACCAUCAAAGACUGGAGGAGCAGCACGAAAGGGAUUACUUGCCUGAUCAAACCUAAAUCGUUUCUUCCAUGAAGAAAUUCCUGCUGAUGUCCCAUCUGAACCUCCCCUGGCACAGCUUGAGGCCRUUUCAUCUUGUCCUGUCGCUGGAAAACCUUGGCGCAAGAGCAGAAGGGCUGAACUGAAAUUGCCAAAAUUUUGAGUUAAUUACAGCUAUUACAGAGAUCCUGUCAUUUUAACCUUUUUYCUGGACAUUCUUCUUUUACUACGUGUAUGUGUUAGACAGGUUUUAUAUAGGUUAUACAUAUCUAUGUAUAUAUAAAUUAUAUAUACAUCUGUGCAAAAUACGUGUGUAUAUAUGCUUGUCUUAUAUGUUACAUGUACUAUUUUCUAUUUCUGUUAACACGUUGUGUAAGUUUAUAU